GCCAUGUUGCCUCCAUCCCAUGGUCCUACAUCACAUGAUACCAGUGCUGAUGAAUGUGGGGUGAUAUUUCUUGAAAUGCAAGCAUAAAUGAGCAUCCACAGCUCGCCACAUGCGAUCCUCCUCAAAAUCAACAAUAUCAAAUACACCCUGCCAAUGAUAAAUAUUAGAAGAAUAUCAUGUUAAUUAAAUAUUCAUAGUAUAAUUUAUUUUACCUAUAAGUGGGUGUAGAAAAUCUCUCUCUG
rnacentral:lncRNA from 1 species